rnacentral:RNase_P_RNA from 1 species
GUCGGAUAAUCGCGCUAAAAAUUAGUGAGGAAAGUCCGUGCAUCCAAGAACAGCUCCCCUGAGAAACUCAGGACGACGUGAGUCGGUGGAUAGUGCCACAGAAAUGUAGACUGCCCUGCGGAAAGAGUUUUUGACUACGUCAAUACUCCACCACAGAGCGAUGGUGCAACGGUGAGGUAAGAGCAUCACCAGCGAUAUUGAGAAAUAUCGGCUAGGUAAACCCGGAGAGGAUGCAAGAUUAAAUCAAAGGUUAAAGGUUGUUCGCCUACUUUGGAAAAAUCGCUAGAGUCUGUAAGUAAUUACAUUCCCAGACAGAUGAUUAUCUAGAAACAGAACACGGCUUAUGAGCUGCUUU